UGGGGAAUCAUGGUCAAUGGGCGAAAGCCUGAACCUGCGACGCCGCGUGAGUGAUGAAGCCCUUCGGGGUGUAAAGCUCUUUCGGCAGGAACGAUAAUGACGGUACCUGCAGAAGAAGCUGCGGCUAACUACGUGCCAGCAGCCGCGGUAAUACGUAGGCAGCAAGCGUUGUUCGGAGUUACUGGGCGUAAAGAGUGCGUAGGCGGUCCUCUAAGUUCGGUGUGAAAUCUCCCGGCUCAACUGGGAGGGUGCGCCGGAAACUGGGGGGCUUGAGUAUGGGAGAGGAAAGCGGAAUUCCUGGUGUAGCGGUGAAAUGCGUAGAUAUCAGGAGGAACACCUGUGGUGUAGACGGCUUUCUGGACCAUGACUGACGCUGAGGCACGAAAGCGUGGGGAGCAAACA
rnacentral:rRNA from 1 species